GCUCUGUGAGCGAAGCCGCAGGGGAGGCCCCAGCUCCUCAGGUGUCCAGUCGGAAUGACAGAAGGUGGUGGCCCCAUCAGGCACAUGUGUCCUCACCACCUGCCUGGGAACUCUCGGGUGUGUGGCCUCAGCAGCCAGGAGAGGACAAAUCUUGCAAAACCCCCAGGAUGUGCUCUGAUGACUAGAACUCUCACCUACGCCCGGAGCAGCCGUCAGAAUAACCUUCCCCAUGCUGUCAUGCGGUGAGCACGGAGAGGACCACCCACCCUUGCUGGAAGAGAGUUCAGCUGCUUUAACAUUCCUGGCGAUGGGGUACACACCAGCUUCAGCAGUGCUAUGUGCAUGGCGCAGGACAAACUCAUUACUGCCUCAGGGACUUUGAACAUGCUGUUCCCACUGCUUGGACCACUUCCCACAGAUCUCUGCAAAGCCCUGCAACGAAGUCACCUCCACUGAGCAACCCUCCCUGACCAUUCACCUAAAAUAUACCACCGUCUCCUGUUCUCCAUGAACUUGCUCUAUUGUGUCUUUUCUCGCAAACUGAUCACUAGCCGAAAUCCGAUCAGCAUUUAGCUUGGCUGUGCAUUGUCUGUCGUCCCGCUAGAGUGACAUUCACGAGGGCCGGCACUGCAGCACUAGCACAUGGCUCAGUUGAAAGCAUAGGAAUGAAUGGGUGGGAUGGAGGGGGGCUGGGAGACUGGCAUCACACCCACUUUACUGAGCUGAAGGUGAGAAGGUGAGUGAAGAUUCUUCACCUUUUGGACGUUAGGCACCUCUCUGAGACCUAGAUGAAAGCCAUGGACCUUUUAUCCAAAAAAAAAAAAAAAAAAAAAAAAAAGCCAACAUUUGUAAAUAGUUUCAAGAGUCCCUUUUAAAACCCAGGGAAGAACAUUUUCAGUAAUGGGAGGGAGAUAAAAUACUCAAGAGAUCUACUUGAGCAUCAGCUGAAGCCCCUUCUGCACCCACUAGCUGUCUCCUGGAUAAUUCAGGCCCCCUUAGGGAUGUUUCCAAAGAAAAGAACAGCAUCUGAGAACAGGGUGGUGCACUGAGGAGAAACACCAGAGUUUGCAGCCCCGGGCCAUCAAAUCUGGUCACUGGUCCAAACCUACGUUAUGCAUCCUCUUGCCUGGGCCUUUUUUCACCAAGGGAGAUAUGGUAACUGUCAUUAAUAUUCCUUUCCUCCCAACACAUAGAAACCAUAUCCCCCUUCCAGAGCUGACUUGCUUUGACCAAGAAAAUGUGACAGAAGGAAUGCCACGGCAGCUCAGCGCCCAGCCUGGAAGGGGCUAGCGGUUUCCAGUUUCCUUUAUGAGCCAGUCACCAUGUAGUAAGUCUGACUAACCUGAGACCACCAUGCUGUGAAGAAGCCCAAGUCAGCCACACGGAGAGAGAGAAAGACAGAGAAUGGCCGCAAGGAGGAGGCCUGAGGGGCCAGACAUGUGACGAAAGCCUUCCUGACCUUCCAGCCCGGCCAGGCCCAACUGCCAGCUGAUUACAGCUGAGUGACUCAGGCUGAUGCCAAAUGGAGCAAAAGAACCACCACGCCAAGCUAAGCCAAGCCCUGAUGAGCUCCUGAUGCACAGAAUAGUGGAAAAUAAUACAUCUUUGUUGUUUUAAGCCACCAAGAUUUGGGGCAGGUUGUUACAUGACAAUAGAUAACGGCCCCUUCAUACCAACCCUCCUGCUUUUUCUGGGCCCAUACACAACCCUCAAUUAUUAGCUCCAGUAACACCUCCUUCCAGAAGUUUCUCUUCUCACUCCACCUCGCUCUUCACUCCUCCAGCCUCUGAACUCUCAAUUUCCUCAACCCCGAAGGCUUAGCUCAGGGGCUCUCUCCUCCAAGGAGCCCUCCCUGACUUCCACAGUGGCCAUAAGCGCUUCUCCACACACCCAGUAUGCCUGUGCACACCCCAUGCCCAUGACCAUCCCUUUGUCAGCUUGUUUGUCCCCAGACUGUUAUUGUCACAUGCAUUGUCAUCCACAUAAUCCACACACAUAGCUCAUUAACUACCACAUAAUAGGGGCUCAGUAAGACCUUAUGAACGGAAAGAACAAACCCCUACACCACUCGCUGGACAUUUACAUACUAUUGCAUUCAUUCCUUCUGCAGACCUGUGUCUCUUUACCACUGUGAUUGAAAAUGCCUUGAGGUUAGGGAUCAUGCUACUCAUCUCCAUGCUUCUCACAGAGCCUUGCACACAGCAGGUGCUCAGUAAAUGCUCUGUUGACUUUUAACUGGUCAGUGUAUGGCUUUCACUGUGACCUUAACUCCAGAUUCCCCCCUAGACCUCUGCUUCUCAGGCUGCAGAUCUCCUAGACCUUGACACUGUAUAAGGACAGAGAAGGCUCUGCUGGUUUAUUUUUGGCUCUUUUCAAUCAAUGGAAUUCUUGAAAGGCCACACAUUCUACAUUCACAGCAAUGAAUUCAUUCCAAAAGGAUAAUCUUUUAGAAGCUACAUUCUCUUUAAAGACAUUCACCUCCAACUCCUACUUCAGCAGACAAAGUGUGAAAGAGUUAACACAGCUUCCCAUACUGCCUGGGAAUUGCAAAUCAACUGGAAAUAUCUGAUUCAAUCUGUUAUUAUAAAACACAGUCCAGACAGCACCGUCACCACAAGGGACAAUCAUUCCAUGAACACACACAGUGUUGUGACCUUUACUCAACAUUCCAGAGAUACAGGAGCUGUGUGGGCCUGGGAGGAGGGGAGGCUUAUGAACAGUGUGGUGUAGUGGGCCCAGCACUGGGGUGGAGGCCAGCUUCCUGGUCCUGGCUGGCCUGGGUACCUCCUUAUCUACAAACUCCUUUUCUCUGAGAACACCCAAAGCAUUUUCCCACCUGACUACUUCAGAUCCUCCAGCUUCCCGGGGACCUGACCAUGACUCUCCCCAGCCAGGCCCGUGCUCAACUGCCCCUCAUGUUUCAGCCCUCCGCUCCUUGGGUUUUAUGACUCAGCUUGGACAUAAAACCCUACAGGCUCACUCCAGGCCAUGACAUCUCAGCUCAGUGUUGGCGGUCUUUGUCACCUGGAGCUGAGCAAGGUGGAAAAGGUGAUAAAAGCCCAAAGGGGAAGAGAGGAGAAAACAGGGAGAGGGCAGGUCAGGAAGUAGGGUCCUUCUGGGCAUACAGCUGGCCCUCAACAAGUCCUUUUGGAACCAGUAAGUCUGCAUUCAACUCUCGGACACACGAAGGAGAUGUGUGCUAGACUGGAAGACAAUUCUUGGAUGCAGCCCACCCAGGGUUCUUGUUCUGGCCCUGCCACUCCCUAGAUGUGUGCCCCUGGGUACACUUCCCCUUGGGAAAGCAGAGGUUGUUGUGGGGCUCUAUGACAUGGCCUGAGGGAACUAGCCCAGUGCUGGUCCCCAGAAAGUGCUCAAUAAGUGUGAACUCACACUUUCCCUCCCUGCUUCCAAUUAGAAAAGGCUGUCUCAUUAUUGAGGCCACCUACAUGAAAGAAUCCAGGUAUAAGAGAAGCUAUGUCCCUCAUGGAUGAUGUGCUAAACGCUCAAGGAACAAGGAAAUUAACUUUGUUGAAUAUAUUGUUUCAUGUUAUUAAGGAACCACUCAUUCAUUCAUUCAACAAUCAUUUGCUCCGUGUCUAGUGUGCAGCAAGCUUUGCCUAAACACAACUGAUAUGCUUCCUUGUUGUAAGCACCAAACGGCUUUAAACAGUUACUGCCCCUAAAAUGCUUUUUGUCCAUGGUCUUUGGAAAGGAAUAUGACCGUAUUCUAUCUGCCAUCAUCUAGACCUUAGAUUUCAGGAGACAGGAGGUGGCCCAAAGAUAAUGAUGACAAAGAUUAUAAUGACACCAGCAAACAAAAGGCACUGCUUAUAGAGAAGUGAACAGAUAAGCAAAUGGGAGUCUCCCUAAGUAGCCAGUGCUCCAAGUUGUUAGGCCAAAAAUCUGACCCCAACUCUGAGCUCCCCAACAUGACAGUAUAUAUAGAUCCACAUCUUGCCCUCUUCCUCUGUGGCAAAGGAGCAGUUUCAUUUUCAACUUGUUGUGGACUGAUAACUUUUGUAAAAUGCACAGAUGGUGUUCCUGAAUCCUGCAGUGAUGUCAAAUUGUUUUAAAUAAAAGUUUCUAAAUACUAA